rnacentral:rRNA from 1 species
GUGAACGCUGGCGGCGUGCUUAACACAUGCAAGUCGAACGCGAAAGCGGGAGCAAUCCUGCGAGUAGAGUGGCGAACGGGUGAGUAAAAUGUGGGUAAUCUGCCUUCGAGAGGGGGAUAACCCGGCGAAAGCUGGGCUAAUACCGCGUAAUGUCUGAAUGCUUUCGGGCGUACAGACCAAAACAUGGGGAAUCGCAAGAUCCUAUGGCUUGAAGAUGAGCCCACAACCUAUCACGCCUGUUGGUGGGGUAAUUGCCUACCAAGGCGACGACGGGUAGCUGGUCUGAGAGGAUGGUCAGCCACAAUGGGACUGCGACACGGCCCAUACACCUACGGGUGGCAGCAACUGGGAAUAUUGGACAAUGGGCGAAAGCCUGAUCCAGCGACGCCGCGUGGAGGAUUGAAGGUCUUCGGAUUGUAAACUCCUUUUGCGAGGGAAGAUUAUGACGGUACCUCGCGAAUAAGCAUCUGCUAACUACGUGCCAGAAGCCUCGGUAAUACGUAGGAUGCAAGCGUUAUCCGGAUUCAUUGGGCGUAAAGAGUUGCGUAGGCGGAUUGGUGCAUCUUGCUUGAAAGCCCACGGCUUAACCGUGGUUUUGGGCAAGAUAUGACUAAUCUUGAAGUUAUGUGGGGGUGCUGGAACGGAUGGUGGAGCAGUGAAAUGUGUUGAGAUCAUCCGGAACACCAAAGGCGUAGGCAGGCACCUAGUAUAUACUUGACGCUUAGGCACGAAAGCAUGGGGAGCGAAGCAGAUUAGAGACCUGCGUAGUCCAUGCCGUAAACGAUGGAUGCUAGAUAUUCGGCUUUUGCUGGGUGUCGAAGCUAACGCGUUAAGCAUCCCGCCUGGGGAGUACGAGCGCAAGCUUAAAACUCAAAGGAAUUGACGGGGAGGCGCACAAGCAGUGGAGCGUGUGGUUUAAUUCGAUACAAAGCGAAAGACCUCACCAGGGUUUGACAUGUAGCUGCAAGCGCACGGAAACGUGUGACCUUCGAGGGUGCUACACAGAUGCUGCAUGGCUGUCGUCAGCUCGUGGCGUGAGCUGUACCGUUUAGUCGGGUAACGAGCGCAACCCGCAUCGUAUGUUAAAUAAUUCAUGCGAAACUGCCCCCUUUGGGGGAGGAAGGCGCGGAUGAUGUCAAGUCAGCACGGCUCUUACACCCUGGGCAACACACACCCUACAAUGGCGAAUAACAACGAGUUGCAAACUGGUAACAGUAAGCUAAUCUCUGAAAUUUCGCCUCAGUUCAGAUCGAGGUCUGCAACCCGACCUCGUGAAGGAGGAAUUGCUAGUAAUCGCGAAUCAGCAGGUCGCGGUGAAUACGUUCUCGCCUCUUGUACACACCGCCCGUCAAGGCAGCAAAGUUGGGGGCACCCGAAUAUCUAUUAUGUAGGUAGAAGGUGAAACCAGCGAUGAAGCUU